rnacentral:pre_miRNA from 1 species
AAAAUACUCCCUCCGUUCGAAAUUACUUGUCGCAAAAAUGGAUGUAUCUAGAUGUAGAUACAUCCAUUUUUGCGACAAGUAAUUUCGAACGGAGCGAGUACUAC